UGCUGGUCUGAAGGUAGUGAGUUAUCUCAACUGACUGUUCACGGUCAGUUACAGAUUGAACUUGUUCUACUCUUCCCCCCUUCUCACGACUGCACUUGACUAAUCUUUA
rnacentral:Y_RNA from 1 species